AAGGGGAAAAACAAAUAGGCAGGUGUGAGGACCUCAAGGGGAAAAAACAAAUAGGCAGGUGUGAGGACCUCAAGGGGAAAAAACAAAUAGGCAGGUGUGAGGACCUCAAGGGGAAAAAACAAAUAGGCAGGUGUGAGGACCUCAAGGGGAAAAAACAAAUAGGCAGGUGUGAGGACCUCAAGGGGAAAAAACAAAUAGGCAGGUGUGAGGACCUCAAGGGGAAAAAACAAAUAGGCAGGUGUGAGGACCUCAAGGGGAAAAAACAAAUAGGCAGGUGUGAGGACCUCAAGGGGAAAAAACAAAUAGGCAGGUGUGAGGACCUCAAGGGGAAAAAACAAAUAGGCAGGUGUGAGGACCUCAAGGGGAAAAAACAAAUAGGCAGGUGUGAGGACCUCAAGGGGAAAAAACAAAUAGGCAGGUGUGAGGACCUCAAGGGGAAAAAACAAAUAGGCAGGUGUGAGGACCUCAAGGGGAAAAAACAAAUAGGCAGGUGUGAGGACCUCAAGGGGAAAAAACAAAUAGGCAGGUGUGAGGGCCUCAAGGGGAAAAAACAAAUAGGCAGGUGUGAGGACCUCAAGGGGAAAAAACAAAUAGGCAGGUGUGAGGACCUCAAGGGGAAAAAACAAAUAGGCAGGUGUGAGGACCUCAAGGGGAAAAAACAAAUAGGCAGGUGUGAGGACCUCAAGGGGAAAAAACAAAUAGGCAGGUGUGAGGGCUUCAAGGAAAGCAUUUUACCCAGUGGCUUAGAAAUGCCAAGGCCGAUUUUUGUUCCUAGUCCGCACCUGAAGCCCAUUACAAGGGUAUCUUCAAUAGCAGGGCUUUCAAAUCAUUUGUGUAUACAUUCUUACAGUCCCUGACUGAUGAUAAGCAAUGUCUACUCAAGAAUGAAUAACAUCAGCAACUGGAAU